AAUCUCCCCUAGAACCCUUUGAU
rnacentral:miRNA from 1 species